ensembl:misc_RNA
AUGUCCUGAGCAGAAGGAUCCCUUUGGGAGCCUCUCAGGAGGGGGACUUGGGCCAGGGGCCACCAGCAUCGUUCUGGUAACUGGGUGGGGGCA